UACGUAGGGGGCGAGCGUUAUCCGGAUUUACUGGGUGUAAAGGGAGCGUAGACGGCUGGUCAAGUCUGAAGUGAAAGCCCGGGGCUUAACCCCGGAACGGCUUUGGAAACUGAGCAGCUAGAGUGCUGGAGAGGUAAGCGGAAUUCCUAGUGUAGCGGUGAAAUGCGUAGAUAUUAGGAGGAACACCAGUGGCGAAGGCGGCUUACUGGACAGUAACUGACGUUGAGGCUCGAAAGCGUGGGGAGCAAACAGG
rnacentral:rRNA from 1 species